AUUGAACGCUGGCGGCAUGCCUUACACAUGCAAGUCGAACGGCAGCAUGGGUGCUUGCACCUGAUGGCGAGUGGCGAACGGGUGAGUAAUGCAUCGGAACGUACCCGGAAGUGGGGGAUAACGUAGCGAAAGUUACGCUAAUACCGCAUAUUCUGUGAGCAGGAAAGAGGGGGAUCGCAAGACCUCUCGCUUUCGGAGCGGCCGAUGUCGGGUUAGCUAGUUGGCGGGGUAAAGGCCCACCAAGGCAACGAUCCGUAGCGGGUCUGAGAGGAUGAGCCGCCACAAUGGGACUGAGAAACGACCCAGACUCCGACGGGAGGCAGCAGUGGGGAAGUUUGAACAAUGGGGGCAACCCUGAUCCGGCCAUGCCGCGUGAGUGAAGAAGGCCUUCGGGUUGUAAAGCUCUUUCGGCUGGGAAGAAAUCGCAUCUCCUAAUACGGGGUGUGGAUGACGGUACCAGCAUAAGAAGCACCGGCUAACUACGUGCCAGCCGCCGCCGUAAAAC
rnacentral:rRNA from 1 species